rnacentral:rRNA from 1 species
ACCAUGCUGAAUAUACCGAUUCUCGUUAGAUCACCGAAGUCAAGCAUCAUUGGGCGCGGUCAGUACUUGGGUGGGUGACUACCUGGGAACACCGCGUGCCGUU